GCCGCCCGGAAGGACUAAGCGGCUGCACCACGCUCGCCCAGAGGUCCUUCCGGGAGUCCAGCUGACACAGGUCUCGGCCAGGGCUCUACCUGCGCUCAGGAUUGGAAAAGCUGUGCGCAAUGAGAGGCGCGUUGGUUCUCCGCAACGGGGAGCAGAAACCGGCCUGGGUCAGCCAGUGGACUGGUUGGAAGCAGAGAACUGAAAGAAAACCAACACCCUAGUGAGGCCAAGGGAAGUUUUCCAGUUUCAUGAAGUCCCAUUUAUCAAUUCUUGAUCUUAGAGCCUGAGCCAUUGGAGUUCUGAUCAGGAAAUGUUCCCUUGUGCCAAGGAGUUCAAGGCUCUUUCCCACCUUUUCUUCUAUUGGAUUCAGUGUAUCUGGUUUUGUGUUGAGGUCCUUGAUCCACUUGUGUUGGGAGCCGCGCCCACAUUCGCCGUUACAAGAUGGCGCUGACAUCCUGUGUUCUAAGUGGUAAACAAAUAAUCUGCGCAUGUGCCAAGGGUUUUUAUGACUACUUGUGCUCUGCCUUCCCCGUGACGUCAACUCGGCCGAUGGGCUGCAGCCAAUCAGGGAGUGACACGUCCUAGGCGAAAUAUAACUCUCCUAAAAAAGGGACGGGGUUUCGUUUUCUCUCUCUCUUGCUUCUUGCACUCCUGCUCCUGAAGAUGUAAGCAAUAAAGUUUUGCCGCAGAAGAUUUUGGUCUGUGGUGUUCUUCCUGGCCGGUCGUGAGAACGCGUCUAAUAACAAUUGGUGCCGAAUUCCGGGACGAGAAAAAACUCGGGACUGGCGCAAGGAAGAUCCCUCAUUCCAGAACCAGAACUGCGGGUCGCGGUAAUAAAGGUUCCCGUAAAGCAGACUGUUAAGAAGGAUUCAACUGUAUGAAUUCAGAACUUUUCAGCUGGGGAACGAGAGUACCAGUGAGUACAGCUUUACGAGAAUGAAGACAACCCAUUUUGGAUACCAGAAAGACUCACCCGAAAAAUCCAGACUGACCAAGGGAAUACUGAUGUCCAUCGUCUUGGUGAUGUCCAGGGCGUCAAUAAUAAAGAGAGAGCAGCGUUGGGGGAUAAUGUCGACAUUUCCACUCCCAAUGACGGUGAUGUAUAAUGCUCAAGUAUUCUCCUGCCUUUUUACACUAACUAGGAACUGGGUUUAGCCUUGAUUCAGACAGCCUUGGCUCUGUCUGGACAGGUCCAGACAACUGACACCAUUAACACUUUGUCAGCCUCAGUGACUACAGUCAUAGAUGAACAGGCCUCAGCUAAUGUCAAGAUACAGAGAGGUCUCAUGCUGGUUAAUCAACUCAUAGAUCUUGUCCAGAUACAACUAGAUGUAUUAUGACAAAUAACUCAGCAGGGAUGUGAACAAAAGUUUCCGGGAUUGUGUGUUAUUUCCAUUCAGUAUGUUAAAUUUACUAGGGCAGCUAAUUUGUCAAAAAGUCUUUUUCAGUAUAUGUUACAGAAUUGGAUGGCUGAAUUUGAACAGAUCCUUCGGGAAUUGAGACUUCAGGUCAACUCCACGCGCUUGGACCUGUCCCUGACCAAAGGAUUACCCAAUUGGAUCUCCUCAGCAUUUUCUUUCUUUAAAAAAUGGGUGGGAUUAAUAUUAUUUGGAGAUACACUUUGCUGUGGAUUAGUGUUGCUUCUUUGAUUGGUCUGUAAGCUUAAGGCCCAAACUAGGAGAGACAAGGUGGUUAUUGCCCAGGCGCUUGCAGGACUAGAACAUGGAGCUCCCCCUGAUAUAUGGUUAUCUAUGCUUAGGCAAUAGGUCGCUGGCCACUCAGCUCUUACAUCUCACGAGGCUAGACUCAUUGCACGGGAUAGAGUGAGUGUGCUUCAGCAGCCCGAGAGAGUUGCACGGCUAAGCACUGCAAUAGAAAGGCUCUGCGGCAUAUAUGAGCCUAUUCUAGGGAGACAUGUCAUCUUUCAAGAAGGUUGAGUGUCCAAGUGUCCUUCUCUCCAGGCAAAACGACACGGGAGCAGGUCAGGGUUGCUCUGGGUAAAAGCCUGUGAGCCUAAGAGCUAAUCCUGUACAUGGCUCCUUUACCUACACACUGGGGAUUUGACCUCUAUCUCCACUCUCAUUAAUAUGGGUGGCCUAUUUGCUCUUAUUAAAAGGAAAGGGGGAGAUGUUGGGAGCCGCGCCCACAUUCGCCGUUACAAGAUGGCGCUGACAUCCUGUGUUCUAAGUGGUAAACAAAUAAUCUGCGCAUGUGCCAAGGGUUUUUAUGACUACUUGUGCUCUGCCUUCCCCGUGACGUCAACUCGGCCGAUGGGCUGCAGCCAAUCAGGGAGUGACACGUCCUAGGCGAAAUAUAACUCUCCUAAAAAAGGGACGGGGUUUCGUUUUCUCUCUCUCUUGCUUCUUGCACUCCUGCUCCUGAAGAUGUAAGCAAUAAAGUUUUGCCGCAGAAGA
rnacentral:lncRNA from 1 species